rnacentral:rRNA from 1 species
UGGUGCCAGCAGCCGCGGUAAUUCCAGCUUCAGCAGCAUCUAUUAAAGUUGCUGCGGUUAAAAGGCUCGCAGUUGAAUGUCAGUAACGGGCGCAGUGAAGGUGGACGCUGGGGUGUGGGAAUACAAGGCGUGUGUGUGUCUCGGGUUUAGCUGUUCCGCUCCCCUUUGUUGAGGAAAAGUUCGGCGGCUCUUGCGUGCAUGGGUCUCUCACAAACCCCCGUCCGUAACCAGCCUCCUCGCUCGCGUACAUAUCGAAUUCGUAAACAAAUGGAGUUGCGUUGCGGCUUGCGUCCGUUUCGAUUGGCGCUUGUUUGCGCGCGUUAAGGCUCUUUCGGGUUCACAGUCACCUUGAGUAAAUCAGAGUGCUCAAAGCAGUCGUAGGGGUCUCGUAUCCCGUAAACAGUCUUGACGGACUGACUUGGUUUUGCAUGGCAUGUCGGAAGACGACGUCGUGUGUUGGCUCAGGAAUGUAACCAGUGGUAAAAGCCAGCACCGACGUAAUGAUUAACAGGAACGGUCGAGGGCAUUGGUAUUGCGAGGCGAGAGGUGAAAUUCUAUGACCCCCGCAAGACCUCCUGAAGCGAAAGCGUCUGCCAUGGACGUUUUUC